GAUGAACGCUGGCGGCGUGCCUAAUACAUGCAAGUAGAACGCUGAAGGAGGAGCUUGCUCUUCUGGAUGAGUUGCGAACGGGUGAGUAACGCGUAGGUAACCUGCCUGGUAGCGGGGGAUAACUAUUGGAAACGAUAGCUAAUACCGCAUGACAACAGUUAUUGCAUGAUAACUGUUUAAAAGGGGCAACUGCUCCACUACCAGAUGGACCUGCGUUGUAUUAGCUAGUUGGUGAGGUAACGGCUCACCAAGGCGUCGAUACUUAGCCGACCUGAGAGGGUGAUCGGCCACACUGGGACUGAGACACGGCCCAGACUCCUACGGGAGGCAGCAGUAGGGAAUCUUCGGCAAUGGACGGAAGUCUGACCGAGCAACGCCGCGUGAGUGAAGAAGGUUUUCGGAUCGUAAAGCUCUGUUGUAAGAGAAGAACGAGUGUGAGAGUGGAAAGUUCACACUGUGACGGUAUCUUACCAGAAAGGGACGGCUAACUACGUG
rnacentral:rRNA from 1 species